rnacentral:ncRNA from 1 species
UGCUGUUUCUUAUACUUUCCCUUAACCCCAUAGAUAUGCGGGUACAAGGAUGUACCCGCAAGUGAGGCCGUGCCAAGGAGGGCACGUCCGAACGGUAUCGUCCAAUAAAGAUACCUACAUGGAAAGUAUUAGAAACAUCCAACCG